GCGCACCUUUUCUCCCUCCUGCCAUAAUGUGAGCGUUCUGCAGCACAGAUAACCGGCGACUCCCCGCUCCACCCCCGCCCUCUCCCACUCCGCCCACUCCCGAGAGCCCAGGUAAAGAGAUGCUUGAUUUAUUCCCUACCGUCUGCCAGUCAGAGCUAUCCUGCUUGGAAGAGGGGUGUGCAGUGUGAUGGCUGAAGAACAAGGGGGAAGCUGGCAGAUACGGGGAUCUCAACGAAACCUUGCCCUUGGGGUUAUAAUACUGCACUGUAACCAGCUGAGCAACUGGCCAGGCCUUCUACUAUUUUUUUUUUUAAUAGCAAAUAAAAAUGGGGCCUGGAUUUUAAGAGUCACAUGGCCAGAACUAAAACCUGGGUCUCCAGGGUCCAAGUCCAGGACUUCUCUAUAACAUACUGCAGCUCCUUGCUGGAUACCAUACAAAGCAAACUGAACAGAUGUGGUCUCUGCCCUCUGAAAGUAUGGACUCAAAUGAACAGCCCCGAUUCCUGCAAACAUAAAAGGAAAACAUGAUUUACUGUCCUCUCAC